rnacentral:rRNA from 1 species
UACGGAGGAUGCGAGCGUUAUCCGGAUUUAUUGGGUUUAAAGGGUGCGUAGGCGGAUCGUUAAGUCAGUGGUCAAAUUGAGGGGCUCAACCCCUUCCCGCCAUUGAAACUGGCGCUCUUGGGUGGAAGAGAAGUAUGCGGAAUGCGUGGUGUAGCGGUGAAAUGCAUAGAUAUCACGCAGAACCCCGAUUGCGAAGGCAGCAUGCCGGCUUCCGACUGACGCUGAAGCACGAAAGCGUGGGGAUCGAACAGG